AUACGUAGGUGACAAGCGUUAUCCGGAUUUACUGGGCGUAAAGGGCGUGUAGGCGGUCUUGCAAGUCAGAAGUGAAAUUCCUGAGCUCAACUCGGGCGCUGCUUCUGAAACUGCAGGACUUGAGUGCUGGAGGGGAUAGCGGAAUUCCUAGUGGAGCGGUAAAAUGCGCAGAUAUUAGGAAGAACACCGGUGGCGAAGGCGGCUAUCUGGACAGUAACUGACGCUGAGGCGCGAAAGCGUGGGGAGCAAACAGGAUUAGAUCCCCUGGUAGUCCACGCCGUAAACGAUGAAUACUAGGUGUAGGGGGUAUCGACUCCCUCUGUGCCGCAGUUAACACAAUAAGUAUUCCGCCUGGGGAGUACGGCCGCAAGGUUGAAACUCAAAUG
rnacentral:rRNA from 1 species